ACAGGUUAGUAUCUGCUGGAGCUACAAAAGUUUAUGCCAUUCUUACUCAUGGCAUUUUUUCUGGUCCUGCUAUUUCUCGGAUUAAUAAUGCAUCGUUUGAGGCUGUUGUGGUAACUAAUACAAUCCCCCAAGAAGAGAAAAUGAAACACUGCCCGAAAAUUCAGUUUAUUGACAUUUCCAUGAUCCUGGCUGAGGCAAUUCGAAGAACACACAAUGGUGAAUCUGUGUCUUACCUGUUCAGUCACGUCCCCUUGUAACCGCAUCUUUGCAAAGGCCCCUCAGCCAGCACUGUUGUUUUUAACAAUGCAUCUCACCCACAAGAAAUGAGCACCUUUGUACAAUUCCAGAGCUCGUAUGUUUAAUUAUUAUAUUUGUCUUGUAAUUACCAUUUGUUCUUUGUAAAUGGGCAAUAAAUCUCUGUCUUGCAGAAA